GGGUCGGCCACUCACGAUAGUAUCGAUAUAUCGAAUAUUUGGGUUUGCGAACCACUAUCGAUGUUUGAGUGCCGAUAGUAAACGAUAGUGGCAAGCUUGCACAUCUUUACUUUUGGCGAACAACUGCGGAGAUCUACACGUGAAAGUUAAUAUUGGUGUUGGCGGAGAAAAUGGACAAAUUUUUGCAAGGCGAAUACGAUAAAGGCAUAAGUGCAAAGAGCAAGUCGGAGGAGGACGAAAACCAGGUGAAAC